ensembl:lncRNA
CUGCGCUUUGUGCCCUUCCCAGGUCCGAGUAGCUCAGGAGUUUGGCGAGUGCAAUUGCCGCGGCUUGUCACCUUUUCCGCCGCUGCCGCUCAGCUCUCUGGGUGGACCGCUGGCGCACCCCGUGAGGCAGACUGUGACUGUCCAGCACCCCCAGAAGUCUUAGCAAAGGAGCCUGCUUGCAGUUAGGCGCCAGCUGCUUCCCACCCCACAAUGCAAGAGGCUGUUUGGAGCAGAGAGAUGUCCCGAACUAUUGCCCAGAUUUGGUGUCACCUAGGGUCUGCCUGGAAGAUGCGCUCCAACCUCCCCACCCCCAGCCCUGAGUGAUGCAGGUAUGAGGGAACACCUGAUGGCCUGCAUGGUGGAGGAGCCUCUUACAGGACAGGUGUCCUUGGACUUGAAUGCACUUUUUCUUUUGAGGUCUGGCACCCAGAUCUGUCCUCUCCCAUCAGAUUGUGCUUACACCAUGGCUAGCAUAUGGCUUGUGACCAGCACACUGGAAGCAGUUCUCUUGCCCAACCCAGCAGUCUUCUGAUGCAAAAGAUGCCAAGAGCCCCUCCCACCAGGCUGC